rnacentral:lncRNA from 1 species
UUUGAUUACUUGAUAAUUUCUUGGUUGACUGAGUUGAUAUUAGUUAUGUUUUUGGCUUGUUAUAAAGUGAAUUGAUUGUGAUGUGUUGUGAAGUGAAAUGAUUGUGAUUAAGGAUUGAUGACUUUUGUAUGGAUAUUGUGUGAUCGGGAAAGCUGAGCCGGGCGGAUAGCUACCCGAGUAUGUGAGAUGGCAAGACUGAGCUGGGCGGAUAGUCUUGUCAAGUGGUUACUGAAAUUUAAAAAUGUGAGGAAAUGUAAGGAUGAGUCAUCUGAUCCUAAUUUGAUAGAAAUAAUGUGGAAUUGAAUUAUUUGACUUGGUUGAGUUUGAGAUUAUUUGCAUUACGUGAGAUGAAAUUAUAUGUUUAUGAGAAUAACUGAAAUGGUUGAUUUUGUGAUUGUUAGUUAAGUGUUGGUAUAAUUUUCUGUAUUGAUAAAAAUUUGAUAAUUCUAGC